rnacentral:rRNA from 1 species
GACGUAGGGUGCAAGCGUUUGUCCGGAUUUAUUGGGCGUAAAGAGCUCGUAGGCGGCUUGUUGCGUCGACUGUGAAAACCCGCGGCUUAACCGCGGGCUUGCAGUUGAUACGGGCAGGCUAGAGUUCGGUAGGGGAGACUGGAAUUCCUGGUGUAGCGGUGAAAUGCGCAGAUAUCAGGAGGAACACCGGUGGCGAAGGCGGGUCUCUGGGCCGAUACUGACGCUGAGGAGCGAAAGCGUGGGGAGCGAACAGG